GGAGGGGUGGUCGAGUGGUUAAAGGCACCGGACUGUAAAUCCGGCGGGGAAACCCUACGUUGGUUCGAAUCCAACCCCCUCCACCA
rnacentral:tRNA from 2 species